UGGGGAAUAUUGCACAAUGGGCGCAAGCCUGAUGCAGCCAUGCCGCGUGUGUGAAGAAGGCCUUCGGGUUGUAAAGCACUUUCAGCGAGGAGGAAGGUGGUGAACUUAAUACGUUCAUCAAUUGACGUUACUCGCAGAAGAAGCACCGGCUAACUCCGUGCCAGCAGCCGCGGUAAUACGGAGGGUGCAAGCGUUAAUCGGAAUUACUGGGCGUAAAGCGCACGCAGGCGGUUUGUUAAGUCAGAUGUGAAAUCCCCGGGCUCAACCUGGGAACUGCAUUUGAAACUGGCAAGCUAGAGUCUCGUAGAGGGGGGUAGAAUUCCAGGUGUAGCGGUGAAAUGCGUAGAGAUCUGGAGGAAUACCGGUGGCGAAGGCGGCCCCCUGGACGAAGACUGGCGCUCAGGUGCGAAAGCGUGGGGAGCAAAACAGGAUUAGAUACCCUGGUAGUCCACGCUGUAAACGAUGUCGAUUUUGGAGGUUGUGCCCUUGAGGCGUGGCUUCCGGAGCUAACGCGUUAAAGUCGACCGCCUGGGGAGUACGGCCGCAAGGUUAAAACUCAAAUGAAUUGAC
rnacentral:rRNA from 1 species